rnacentral:rRNA from 1 species
AUUGAACGCUGGCGGCAUGCCUAACACAUGCAAGUCGAACGGCAGCACGAAUUAGGCGACUAAUUUGGUGGCGAGUGGCGCACGGGUGAGUAAUACGUAGGAAUAUACCUUAAAGAGAGGGAUAACUUGGGGAAACCCAGGCUAAUACCGCAUGAGCUCUAAGGAGGAAAGCAGGGGACCUUCGGGCCUUGCGCUAAUAGAUUAGCCCAAGUCGGAUUAGGUAGUUGGUGGGGUAAAGGCCUACCAAGGCGACGAUCUGUAGCGGGUCUGAGAGGAUGAUCCGCCACACUGGGACUGAGACACGGCCCAGACUCCUACGGGAGGCAGCAGUGGGGAAUAUUGGACAAUGGGGGGAACCCUGAUCCAGCCAUGCCGCGUGUGUGAAGAAGGCCUUUUGGUUGUAAAGCACUUUAAGCGAGGAGGAGGCUACUGGUAUUAAUACUACCGGAUAGUGGACGUUACUCGCAGAAUAAGCACCGGCUAACUCUGUGCCAGCAGCCGCCGUAAGAC